GACGAACGCUGGCGGCGUGCCUAAUACAUGCAAGUUGAGCGCUGAAGGUUGGUACUUGUACGAAAUGGAUGAGCAGCGAACGGGUGAGUAAUGCGUGGGGAAUUUGCCUUUGAGCGGGGGACAACAUUUGGAAACGAAUGCUAAUACCGCAUAAAAACUUUAAACAAAAGUUUUAAGUUUGAAAGAUGCAAUUGCAUCACUCAAAGAUGAUCCCGCGUUGUAUUAGCUAGAUGGGGAGGUAAAGGCUCACCAAUGCGAAGAUACAGAGACGACCUGAGAGGGAGAUCGGACACAUUGGGACCGAAACACGGGCCAAACCCCUACGGGACGCAGCAGUAGGGGAUCUUCGGCAAUGGGCGAAAGUCUGACCGAGGAACGCCCGGUGAGUGAAAGAGGUUUUCGGUUCGUAAAACUCUGUUGGUAGGGGAGAACGUUCGUGAGGGUGAAAAUCUCAUCAAGUGACGGUAACAACACAGAAAGGGACGGCUAACUACGUG
rnacentral:rRNA from 1 species